rnacentral:rRNA from 1 species
UAAUACGGGGGGUGCGAGCGUUGUUCGGAUUCACUGGGUAUAAAGGGUGCGCAGGCGGCUUGAUAAGUCAGAGGUGAAAUUCGUCGGCUCAACCGACGGACUGCCCCUGAAACUGUCUCGCUUGAGUCCGGGAGAGGAAGGUGGAAUUCCAGGUGUAGCGGUGAAAUGCGUAAAUAUCUGGAGGAACACCGGUGGCGAAGGCGGCCUUCUGGCCCGGAACUGACGCUCAGGCACGAAAGCUAGGGGAGCGAACGGGAUUAGAUACCCCGGUAGUCCUAGCCGUAAACGAUGGGUACUAGGUGUUGGAGGAUUCUACCCCUUCAGUGCCGCAGCUAAUGCAUUAAGUACCCCACCUGGGGAGUACGAUCGCAAGGUUGAAACUUAAAUGAAUUGACGG